rnacentral:rRNA from 1 species
CCUACGGGAGGCAGCAGUGGGGAAUAUUGGACAAUGGGCGAAAGCCUGAUCCAGCCAUGCCGCGUGUGUGAAGAAGGUCUUCGGAUUGUAAAGCACUUUAAGUUGGGAGGAAGGGUUGUACGUUAAUACCGUGCAAUUUUGACGUUACCGACAGAAUAAGCACCGGCUAACUUCGUGCCAGCAGCCGCGGUAAU